GAGUAUAUUGCGCAAUCCGAUAGCGCGGUCGGCCUUUUCAAUCAGUAGGUCGCUGGUUCGAACCCAGCUGGGCUUA
rnacentral:tRNA from 1 species